AGCACCGGCUAACUUCGUGCCAGCAGCCGCGGUAAUACGAAGGGUGCAAGCGUUACUCGGAAUUCCUUCGGCGUAAAGCGUGCGUAGGCGGUUCGUUAAGUCCGAUGUGAAAGCCCUGGGCUCAACCUGGGAACUGCAUUGGAAACUGGCGGGCUGGAGUGCGGUAGAGGGUGGCGGAAUUCCCGGUGUAGCAGUGAAAUGCGUAGAUAUCGGGAGGAACAUCCGUGGCGAAGGCGGCCACCUGGACCAGCACUGACGCUGAGGCACGAAAGCGUGGGGAGCAAACAGGAUUAGAUAUUUUUGGUAGUUUUCGCCCUAAACGAUGCGAACUGGAUGUUGGGUGCAACUUGGCACUCAGUAUCGAAGCUAACGCGUU
rnacentral:rRNA from 1 species